AUGAACGCUGGCGGCGUGCCUAAUACAUGCAAGUCGAGCGAACAGAUGAGGAGCUUGCUCCUCGGACGUUAGCGGCGGACGGGUGAGUAACACGUGGAUAACCUACCUAUAAGACUGGGAUAACUUCGGGAAACCGGAGCUAAUACCGGAUAAUAUAUUGAACCGCAUGGUUCAAUAGUGAAAGACGGUUUUGCUGUCACUUAUAGAUGGAUCCGCGCCGCAUUAGCUAGUUGGUAAGGUAACGGCUUACCAAGGCAACGAUGCGUAGCCGACCUGAGAGGGUGAUCGGCCACACUGGAACUGAGACACGGUCCAGACUCCUACGGGAGGCAGCAGUAGGGAAUCUUCCGCAAUGGGCGAAAGCCUGACGGAGCAACGCCGCGUGAGUGAUGAAGGUCUUCGGAUCGUAAAACUCUGUUAUUAGGGAAGAACAAAUGUGUAAGUAACUAUGCACGUCUUGACGGUACCUAAUCAGAAAGCCACGGCUAACUACGUG
rnacentral:rRNA from 1 species